rnacentral:tRNA from 1 species
GAGGGUAUAGCUCAGUGGUAGAGUGCCUCCUUAGCAUGCACAAGGUCCUGGGUUCAAUUCCUAGUGCCUCCA